rnacentral:rRNA from 1 species
AGAGUUUGAUCAUGGCUCAGAAUCAACGCUGGCGGCGUGCCUCAGACAUGCAAGUCGAACGAUUAAGACUUCCUUCGGGAAGUGUAUAAAGUGGCGCACGGGUGAGUAACACGUAAGUAAUCUACCCUCGAGUGGGGAAUAACGUUCGGAAACGGACGCUAAUACCGCAUAACGCAGCGGCACCGCAAGGUGACAGUUGUUAAAGGAGUAAUUCGCUUGAGGAGGAGCUUGCGGCAGAUUAGCUAGUUGGUAAGGUAACGGCUUACCAAGGCUACGAUCUGUAUCCGGCCUGAGAGGGCGGUCGGACACACUGACACUGAAUAACGGGUCAGACUCCUACGGGAGGCAGCAGUCGGGAAUUUUGGGCAAUGGGCGAAAGCCUGACCCAGCAACGCCGCGUGAAGGAUGGAGUAUUUCGGUAUGUAAACUUCGAAAGAAUGGGAAGAAUAAAUGACGGUACCAUUUAUAAGCUCCGGCUAACUACGUGCCAGCAGCCGCGGUAAUAC